AGGAUUUCAGAAGGUGUUAAAGAAUUUCCUUGAUACUGCUGAGGCUGAAGUCAAGUCUCUCACUACUCUUUAUAUUGAAGUGGGAAGGAGUGCAGACUCCCUAUCCCUAUAUUUUGGCGAGGAUCCAGCUCGAUGCCCCUUUGAGCAAGGUUAGAGAUACAUAUGUUUUAAUUUUUCUUGCUGUAUUAUCACUUAUCAGUCAUCUGGUAAGAUUUCUGGAAAAGAAAAAACUACAGUCGUUUGGCUGUUUAACAAACACUCUUGGUAAUAUAGCUAUUCCAGUAGCGUUUAUCAGUGAUACAAUCUUUUUAGUUGUCUGUCUUUAUGUGAAGAUUAUGGGAUGCAACAUUUAUGGCCUUUGUAG